rfam:Aedes aegypti strain Liverpool supercont1.689 genomic scaffold, whole genome shotgun sequence.
GUGUCGGUAGCUUAGUCGGUAAAGCGCUCGUCUAGCAUACAAAAGUCCUGGGUUCAAAUCUCAGUCGAGCACU